rnacentral:lncRNA from 1 species
AGGUUUCAUUAUGUCAUGAAGACAGACAGAGAAAAGAAUUAAAAGAGGCAGAGAAGAUAUUCUCAAGAGGAGUAAGACAUGACAGCAGCUUAUCAAGUGGCUGAGAAACUAUCUUCAUAACCAUAGAGCCAUGUGUAUCAUCUCGAGAGAGAAUUUCCUGAUCAGAGGAAAUUGCAGUUACUACAUUUUCACACGUCUUCCUGAACCACAUUAAAAUGACUUUAAUGACUUGGAUGAAUGGCACAAGGAGUCAGCAGAGCUCACAAAGAAUCCAAUGAGUUUGUUGCUCUGAACUGUAGUUCUGUUAACAAAAUGAGAUAUGAGUUGCCUGCAUGUUCUCAAAAGGGUUGUUUCUUGUACACAGGGCUUCCCACAGAAUAUAAAAGCAAGAUAAUGCUGUUUAAGAAUUGUUUCAUAAGUGAUAAAUUACGCAAAUUUCUUUAGACUAUGAAUCACUGAAUAAUUUACCAGAGGAUAAUGAUGUAUGCCUCAAUAAAAAUGUUUGGUAUAAUUACAAAUUUAUUCACAAGCCACUUAACUCAUGCUCACUGAAGAUAUUUUGAUAUGCUUUUUUUUUUUUUCCCCCUAGUUACUUUAAUUUUUCCUACUUUAUCAAAUCUGAACUUUGCUCUGUAGCAUAAUAAUAAGUAAAUUACUUUCUCAGAUCUUGAUAUAUUUCUUAUUCUUAAACAAUGUCUAAGGACCCAAUGUCCUCAACAGGAUUCCAGUUUCAAUGCAUCCACAAAAUCAUACUGUGAAAUACAGAAAGAUCUUCUAAGUAUUUACUCAUGUGCUAAAAGCUAUGUUUCUGUAAUGGUGCUGAAAUCAAUGCUGGAGCUGGAUGCAGUUGGACAAAAAUCUUGCUUGUGCAGUUGUUAGCCAAUAGCUAGAGCAUGUCCUACUUCCUACAGUGCAUGGUUACAAGAAGAUCUAACCAAAAAUUGUAUAUAAGAAGAACACUCAUGUAGCACCUGCAAGAGAAUAAGGCAGCUUUGGAGAACAGUAGUAGUGGCAGUGCAAAGUGCCUGUGUUUCCUUGUCUAAGGUUAGCAGGUUUUAAUUUUGAGGCAGUCACAGUGACUGUAUUUUCCACAGAUGGGAAGAAUGAAGGAUGCCUUUGUUUUGCUCACACUGCGACUAAAGUAAAGCUUGAGAAUAAAGUUCCAAAGGG